rnacentral:lncRNA from 1 species
AUGAAGCUGGUUCUACGCAGCUGGUCUCCAGUGCGUCUCCUUGGGCCGGCUUACAUGGCACCAGCCUUGUGCUCGGUGUCUCUGGUUCGCCUGCAUAGCCCAGUGCGGGCUAUUCCACCUCGCUGCACUGGCAGGGCGACCGUGAGCAUUCAACCAGGUAAGGUUGGGCAGGCUCGGUGCUCAAGAGCUCCAGUGCGCCUGCACGGUCCGGUCUUUCCAGUACCACCUCCACACCCCAGCCCUCCGGUAGCAGCUCCCCGCACCAGGCUUCCUGUGCGUGUCCUCGGCCCAGUACCACCAGUGCCAGCACCACGCAUCAGGCCUACAGUGCGCCUCGCCUGUCCAGCGCUGCCAGAGCCUUCCUCCUCUCCAGCGCUGUCGGAGUCUCCCGCCUGUCUAGCGCUGUUAGAGCCUUCCUCCUCUACAGCGCUGCCGGAGUCUCCCGCCUGUUCAGAGCUGCCAGUCUGCAAGGAGCUGCCAGUCUGCAAGGAGCUGCCAGUCUGCAUAGAGCUGCCAGUCUGCAAGGAGCUGCCAGUCUGCAGGAUGCCGCCAGAGCUGCCAGUCUGCAAGGAGCCGCCAGAGCCGCCAGUCUGCAAGGAGCCGCCAGAGCCGCCAGUCUGCAAGGAGCCGCCAGAGCCGCCAGUCAGCCAGACUCUUCCAGAUCUGCCAGUCGACCAGACUCUUCCAGAUCUGCCAGUCGACCAGACUCUUGCAGAUCUGCCAGUCGACCAGACUCUUCCAGAUCUGCCAGUCGACCAGACUCUUCCAGAUCCGCCAGUCGGCCAGGAUCCGCCAGUCGGCCAGGAUCCGCCAGAUCCGCCAGUCAGCCAGGAUCUGCCAGUCAGCCAGGAUCUGCUGAAACCACCAGCCAGCCAGGAUCUGGUAGAUCUACCUACCUGCCUGAGCUUCCUCUCACUCCUGAGCUUCCUCUCACUCCUGAGCUUCCUCUCACUCCUGAGCUUCCUCUCACUCCUGAGCUUCCUCUCACUCCCGAGCUUCCUCUCACUCCCGAGCUUCCUCUCACUCCCGAGCUUCCUCUCACUCCCGAGCUUUCUCUCACUCCCGAGCUUUCUCUCACUCCCGAGCUUUCUCUCACUCCCGAGCUUUCUCUCACUCCCGAGCUUUCUCUCACUCCCGAGCUUUCUCUCACUCCCGAGCUUUCUCUCACUCCCGAGCUUCCCCUCAGUCCCGAGCUGCCUCAGUCCCGAGCUGUCCUUCAGUCCCGAUCUGCUCCUCAGUCCAGUGGGGUUCUGGGUGAGGACUACUAGGCCAUGGUCGGCGGCGAGGUUGGACUAUCCAGGGACGCGAGGAGAGGGGACUAAGACAUUGACUGAGUGGGUUCCACGUCCCGCGCCGGAGCCGCCACCAUGGACAGACGCCCACCCGGACCCUCCCUAUUGUUUUGAGGUGCGUUCGGGAGUCCGCACCUUAGGGGGGGGGGGGGGUUCUGUCACGCCCUGGUCUAAGUAUUUUGUGUUUUUCUUCAUGUAUUGGGUCAGGCCAGGGUGUGGCAUGGGGUUUUUGUAUUGUGGUGUGUUUUGUCUUGGGGUUUUGGUGUGUAUGUAUUGGGAUUGUAGCUAG